UUCAGGAAACUAUAAACACCAUCUGCAUAAAAGGUUAAGCAAUUCUACUAGUUUAUUUACGGUUAUUAAAUUGAUAGCCCAUCACAAGUCUCUAAAUUAUACAUAUUUGUGACAAUACAAAAGUCCUUGAGACCUCUGAUGUCUUCAUAUUUCAUCCAUAAAUAGAAUUUACUGAUGAAUUUUGUAAGAAACUUAUCAAAAUGUGGUUGUAAGAAACUGUGUUCAUCAAAUAUAUAUGUGAAAGAGCGAAGUUUUGGCUAUGUAAAAUACUCAUUCUGCAAGUAUAUCUUUCUGAUCAUCGUCCCAAAAUAUUUGAGUGAAAUGCAUUCCUUCAUAAGCACUAGGAUCAGUGGCAGCGCAACCCUGACCAAAACAUUAUUGGACUUUCUUUUGUCAGUAGUCACAGAGAUGAGCUGGACUUCAGUCGAGUCAAUUGUCUUGUGUGGGUACUGCAUCAAUCUGCAAGAAACUUUUCAGUUGCAGUACAGAGACCUUGAAUUGGCUAAAAAUAGGCCCGAGCUUGCGAUGACAUGGGUUGGGGUUUAUGUGCAUGCCUAACAUAAAAGCAUCGCAUAUCAGGUAUGGAAGUACAGCCUGCAGUUCCGCUAGUAAAUAUUUCUGACACAUUGUGCAUUUGUGAUUCAAUUUUUAAACUGUGAAGGUUAAUAUCAAUUGUGAUUUUCUAUAUUGAACACUUAGCUCAUGCCUAUAAUAAUUGCCAAGUUCCCGAACUUUGGAACCCAUGCGACAACUAAAAGCAUAUACUAUUGCACAGUAGCAAUUUAUGCUUUGUUCAAAGCUGCAAUAGAAGUGGAAGUAUUUCUUUCUCGCAAGCGCAGCAACAAUGUUUCUUAUGUUCAUGAAAUCCUAUCCCCAAUCAUCCGACUUUCUUGGAGAGCGCAUAAAAAAUCAAUUGAAUUUGAGGAGGUGAAAUGGUUUAAUUAGAACACCAGAGCUGCCACGGAUUGCUGAAAUGUUCAUUCCCCUAUUCAAGAAAUGGUCUGUGGAUUAUGCAGGAAGCGGUCAAAACAUAGAAACGAUCCCCAAACUAUAAAGAAAUUAUGUCAAAAAAUUGCUAAGAAGGACCAGAGAAAAGAAAGUGGUUAUAAGAGAAGAGGACACAACAGCCCUGAAAGUAAAGCUCCCAUCAAGAUAAGAAGAGUUGUUGAAGAAAUUUGUAGAGAUGAGCUUCCUAAGGUAAUUGCAUGUUCAGAUUUGUUCAAUUUUAGGCCGAGAUACAUAUUUUGUGAUGGAUGAUACGUUUCUGA